rnacentral:rRNA from 1 species
CACGCAGUUGUUAGCAAUUAUACCGCGAAACUGCGAAUGGCUCAUUAAAUCAGUUAUCGUUUAUUUGAUAGUACCUUACUACUUGGAUAACCGUGGUAAUUCUAGAGCUAAUACAUGCUAAAAACCCCAACUCACGAAGGGGUGUAUUUAUUAGAUUAAAAACCAAUGCCCUUCGGGGCUUCUUGGUGAUUCAUAAUAACUUCUCGAAUCGCAUGGCCUUGCGCCGGCGAUGGUUCAUUCAAAUUUCUGCCCUAUCAACUUUCGAUGGCAGGGUCUUGGCCUGCCAUGGUUACAACGGGUAACGGAGGGUUAGGGCUCGACCCCGGAGAAGGAGCCUGAGAAACGGCUACUACAUCCAAGGAAGGCAGCAGGCGCGCAAAUUACCCAAUCCCGACUCGGGGAGGUAGUGACAAUAAAUACUGAUACAGGGCUCUUUUGGGUCUUGUAAUUGGAAUGAGUACAAUUUAAAUCCCUUAACGAGGAACAAUUGGAGGGCAAGUCUGGUGCCAGCAGCCGCGGUAAUUCCAGCUCCAAUAGCGUAUAUUAAAGUUGUUGCAGUUAAAAAGCUCGUAGUUGAACCUUGGGCCUGGCUGGCCGGUCCGCCUCACCGCGUGCACUGGUUCGGCCGGGCCUUUCCCUCUGGGGAGCCGCAUGCCCUUCACUGGGUGUGUCGGGGAACCAGGACUUUUACUGUGAAAAAAUUAGAGUGUUCAAAGCAGGCCUAUGCUCGAAUACAUUAGCAUGGAAUAAUAGAAUAGGACGUGUGGUUCUAUUUUGUUGGUUUCUAGGACCGCCGUAAUGAUUAAUAGGGACAGUCGGGGGCGUCAGUAUUCCGUUGUCAGAGGUGAAAUUCUUGGAUUUACGGAAGACUAACUACUGCGAAAGCAUUCGCCAAGGAUGUUUUCUUAAUCAGGAACGAAAGUUAGGGGAUCGAAGACGAUCAAAUACCGUCGUAGUCUUACCAUAACUAUGCCGACAAGGGAUCGGGCGAUGUAUUAUUUGACCCGUCGGACCUACGAA